rnacentral:rRNA from 1 species
CCUACGGGGGGCAGCAGUGGGGAAUAUUGCACAAUGGGGGAAACCCUGAUGCAGCGACGCCGCGUGAGUGAAGAAGUAAUUCGUUAUGUAAAGCUCUAUUAGCAGGGAAGAAAAUGACGGUACCUGAGUAAGAAGCCCCGGCUAACUACGUGCCAGCAGCCGCGGCAAUACGCAGGGGGCAAGCGUUAUCCGGAUUUACUGGGUGUAAAGGGAGCGUAGUCGGCAGUGCAAGUCUGUAGUGAAAGGCGGGGGCUCAACCCCCGGACUGCUCUGGAGACUGUACGGCUGGAGAGCAGGAGAGGUAAGUGGAAUUCCUGGUGUAGCGGUGAAAUGCGUAGAUAUUAGGAGGAACACCAGUGGCGAAGGCAGCUUACUGGACUGUAACUGACGUUGAGGCUCGAAAGCGUGGGGAGCAAACAGGAUUAGAUACCCGGGUAGUC